AGCUUGCUACUUUGCUGACGAGCGGCGGACGGGUGAGUAAUGCUUGGGAACAUGCCUUGAGGUGGGGGACAACAGUUGGAAACGACUGCUAAUACCGCAUAAUGUCUACGGACCAAAGGGGGCUUCGGCUCUCGCCUUUAGAUUGGCCCAAGUGGGAUUAGCUAGUUGGUGAGGUAAUGGCUCACCAAGGCAACGAUCCCUAGCUGGUUUGAGAGGAUGAUCAGCCACACUGGAACUGAGACACGGUCCAGACUCCUACGGGAGGCAGCAGUGGGGAAUAUUGCACAAUGGGCGCAAGCCUGAUGCAGCCAUGCCGCGUGUGUGAAGAAGGCCUUCGGGUUGUAAAGCACUUUCAGUCAGGAGGAAAGGUUAGUAGUUAAUACCUGCUAGCUGUGACGUUACUGACAGAAGAAGCACCGGCUAACUCCGUGCCAGCAGCCGCGGUAAUACGGAGGGUGCGAGCGUUAAUCGGAAUUACUGGGCGUAAAGCGUACGCAGGCGGUUUGUUAAGCGAGAUGUGAAAGCCCCGGGCUCAACCUGGGAACUGCAUUUCGAACUGGCAAACUAGAGUGUGAUAGAGGGUGGUAGAAUUUC
rnacentral:rRNA from 1 species